ACUUUGGUUCAUGUUUGAGAAUUUCUCUUUGCAGCCACAACAGCUGGGAUCCGGUUUAGAACGAAAACUUAACUCAGGACUCGUCACGGGGGCUGAGUAAAUACAUCACAUCCAUACAUCUGGCACGACUGCCUAAGAUCAGCGGUUCUCUUGGCGGGGAACAAAACACCUUGGAAGUUGCCAGGAAAAGUCACCCUCCGGGCAGCUGGGCCCUCAAGUCCCUUGCCGAGCUGUGGCUCGAAUAGAUGUCCCUUGCUGGAGAAGGAUGCUUUUGUGGUGCAGGAGCAAGGUGGAAUCUGUCUCUCUUGCAGGAUCCAAGUUUUUGCGACAAAGCAUGAAUGGAUGUUGUGGGACAGGAGCAGGAUUAAAAAAAUAGUCCCCCUGCAGGGCUCUGCAGUAAGGUUUCCUAGUGCAGAUACGGCUAUAGAACCCGUGGAAGGCGCUUAUGUGGAAACACAGGGCACUGUUAUCUUUGGCAACAUGCUACAGAUAAGGUACAGCAGUCUAAAGCAGGGAUGCCAGACAUGUGGGGAUCCAGCUCACACGGAUUAUUUAAGUAUGCAAAAAAACCUUCUCAGAUCAAUGUUUCCCAAACUGUGGGUCAUGGGAAGGGUCCAGAUAGGUCGCCCUCUCACUGUCCCUCUAACACCCCAGAAUGGGACGGGGCUGGGAGGCCAGAGCAAAGGGGCUGGGAGAGUGGGGAGCAGGAGGGAA